UCGCACUUGGUCAUUGGUUCCCCGACUUGUUCACAUAAAUGUCAUCACCAAUAAAUGGAUUUUUCGGAUUAAAAGACCUAAAGAUGGCAGCAUUGAGAGCUACAAAGUGCGUCUAGAUACAAAAGGGUUCUCUCAAAGAACUGAUUUUGAUUAUCAAGAAAACUUCAGCUCUGUUGUGAAGGCAACUACCAUUCGCACUGUCUUGUCUCUUGCUACUAUUCACCAUUGGCCUAUGCAUCAAAAUGGCAUAUCAAAUACCUUCCUUCAUGGUUCACUUGAGAAUGAAAUUUAUAUGAAGCAACCAACUGUAUUCAUUGAUUCUUCUAAACCUGAUCACGUAUGUAAGCUUCACAAGUCUCUAUAUGGUCUCUAGCAAGCCCCAUAGGCAUGGUAUUCACGUUUGAGCUGUUUCUUAUGCAAGCUUGGUUUUAUUCAUUCUAGAGCCGACACUUCAUUAUUCAUUGUGCAAAGGGGUGUUCAUCGUAUUUUUAUAAUGGUUUAUGUUGAAGUUUAUCAUCAUCUGGUUCUUCUUCCCUCAUUACUAAUCUUAUACAACGGCUUCAAUCUGAAUUUUGAUUGAGAGAUUUCGGCCAGCUUAAUUAUUUCUUGGGGAUGGAAGUCAAUUAUCUUACACAUGGCAUUUUAUUAUCUCAAGCAAAAAUAUAUCACAGAUUUGUUGGAAUGUACUCGUAUGUCUAAGAGUAAACCUUGUUCAAAACCAAUUUCUAUCCCUCAUUCUCUCUCAAAAUCGGUUGGCACUUGUUACAAAAUAGUGAUUUAUCGUCAUGACAUUGGGCCAUUACAAUAUGUAACCUUGACUAGACUAGACAUCUCCUUCACAGUAAAUAAAUUCUGUCACGACAUGAACUCACCAAUAGAUGACCAUUGGAAGGCUAUUAAAUGCCUACUGCGAUAUCUUCAACAUACUGCUCAACUUGGAUUAUUCAUCACCAAAAAUUCAGAUUUUCAAAUUCAUUGCUUCAGUGACAGUGAUUGGGGAAGUUGUCCUGAUGACUGAAGAUUUACAAAUGGUUACGGUAUAUUUCUUGGAUGGGAAAAAAACAACCAACCAACCAUUGCCUGCUCAUCAAC
rnacentral:lncRNA from 1 species